UUAUAGAAAAGGCCUUGGUCUGCUGCUGCUGCUUUCCUAAGAAUGAUUUGAAAACCUUUGAUAUUUGAAAGCUGAGCUGUUAUGAUCAGACAGAUAAAUCACAUGGGUAGCUGGGCAGGAGUGUUCAGUGUUAGAUAAUACUCCAGAAAAACACUUCACUUCCUUUCACUGUCCCUUUCAGCUGGGCUGUUCAUGUAGUUUGAGACUUCACUUUUGUAUAAGUUUUUGCAGAAGUAUGGUAAUUGUUUCUGUUCUUGGAAUCCUCAGAGGGUGCAAGUUCCACAUCUUCCUUGAACAACUCUUCUAAAGCUGUUCUGUACUUGCAGGAUCCUCUUUGGGAGUCUGUGCUUCCUCCCAGAAGAGAUGGGUCUGACUGUUGCAAGAGACUCAGGAGACAGUGCAGUGCAGGAUUUCUUCUGGGAGAAAACACAGCCUUCCUUUGUGAUUGGAGGAAGCAAUUCCUGUUUCUAUUUUAUGUGCUGUGAUGAUGGAUAAAUGCAUUAAUAUGUAUACUUUAUCCUAGACUAAAGACAGAACAGUGUUAACAACCAGGCUGUGCUUUCUGAAAGUCCAAUAAAAAAACUUGUCAACCUUUAAACAAAUUGAAAAAUUGAAGGUUGUGUGUCAGAACUCUUGGAAUGCUUUCGUUCCUCGGGAAAAUCUACCUUUGCCAGUAAGUGUUUUAAUUCAUUAUGAAUGAUCUGACUGUUUCUCUUUGAGAACUAGUUGGUGUUUUUUUCUUUGUUACUGAGUCUCUUAAGUUCUCCUUCAUUUUUA